rnacentral:rRNA from 1 species
CCUACGGGAGGCAGCAGUGGGGGAUAUUGCACAAUGGGGGGAACCCUGAUGCAGCGACGCCGCGUGGGUGAAGAAGCGCCUCGGCGCGUAAAGCCCUGUCAGCAGGGAAGAAAAUGACGGUACCUGAAGAAGAAGCCCCGGCUAACUACGUGCCAGCAGCCGCGGUAAUACGUAGGGGGCAAGCGUUAUCCGGAUUUACUGGGGGUAAAGGGGGCGCAGACGGCGGUGCAAGCGAGGAGGGAAAGCCCGGGGCCCAACCCCGGGACGGCGGUUGGAACUGGGUGGCUGGAGUGCAGGAGGGGUAGGCGGAAGUCCUGGUGUAGCGGUGAAAUGCGUAGAUAUCAGGAGGAACCCCGGUGGCGAAGGCGGCCUGCUGGCC